rnacentral:sRNA from 1 species
AGAUUGCAUAAUCGGUUGCCUUCGGUCUUUGACCACGGAUGUACUGGCACUGACCGUUGAGGCAGUCUGUGAGAAGGUCGGGGAUCCCCCGGCCUUUUUCUUU